GGGGCGCUGGCCGAGUGGUUAGGCGCUGGAUUGCAAAUCCUGUUACCGCGGUUCGAUUCCGCGGCGUCCCU
rnacentral:tRNA from 1 species